CUCUAUGAUUAAAUUGCGGAACAUACGC
rnacentral:sRNA from 1 species